UGACUUGAGNGCAGAAGGGGAGAGUGGAAUNCCAUGUGUAGCGGUGAAAUGCGUAGAUAUAUGGAGGANCACCAGUGGCGAAAGCGGCUCUCUGNUCUGUCACUGACGCUGAGGCUCGAAAGCGUGGGUAGCGAACAGGAUUAGAUACCCUGGUAGUNCACGCCGUAAACGAUGAGUGCUAGGUGUUAGGCCCUUUCCGGGGCUUAGUGCCGGAGCUAACGCAAUAANCACUCCGCCUGGGGAGUACGACCGCAAGGUUGAAACUCAAAGGAAUUGACGGGGGCCCGCACAAGCGGUGGAGCAUGUGGUUUAAUUCGAAGCAACGCGAAGAACCUUACCAGGUCUUGACAUCCCGAUGCUAUUCUUAGAGAUAGGAAGUUACUUCGGUACAUCGGAGACAGGUGGUGCAUGGUUGUCGUCAGCUCGUGUCGUGAGAUGUUGGGUUAAGUCCCGCAACGAGCGCAACCCUUAUUGUUAGUUGCCAUCAUUAAGUUGGGCACUCUAGCGAGACUGCCGGUAAUAAACCGGAGGAAGGUGGGGAUGACGUCAAAUCAUCAUGCCCCUUAUGACCUGGGCUACACACGUGCUACAAUGGUCGGUACAACGAGUUGCGAGCCGGUGACGGCAAGCUAAUCUCUGAAAGCCGAUCUCAGUUCGGAUUGGAGGCUGCAACUCGCCUCCAUGAAGUCGGAAUCGCUAGUAAUCGCGGAUCAGCACGCCGCGGUGAAUACGUUCCCGGGCCUUGUACACACC
rnacentral:rRNA from 1 species